GACAGAGGGUGCGAACGUUGCUCGGAAUUACUGGGCGUAAAGCGCACGUAGGCGGAUUGUUAAGUUAGGGGUGAAAUCCCAGGGCUCAACCCUGGAACUGCCUUUAAUACUGGCAAUCUCGAGUCCGAGAGAGGUGAGUGGAAUUCCGAGUGUAGAGGUGAAAUUCGUAGAUAUUCGGAGGAACACCAGUGGCGAAGGCGGGUUGCUGGGCCGACACUGACGCUGAUGCGCGAAAGCUAGGGGAGCGAACGGG
rnacentral:rRNA from 1 species